rnacentral:rRNA from 1 species
UCCUACGGGGGGGCUGCAGUGGGGAAUAUUGCACAAUGGGCGAAAGCCUGAUGCAGCGACGCCGCGUGAGGGAUGACGGCCUUCGGGUUGUAAACCUCUUUCAGCAGGGAAGAAGCGCAAGUGACGGUACCUGCAGAAGAAGUGCCGGCUAACUACGUGCCAGCAGCCGCGGUAAUACGUAGGGCACAAGCGUUAUCCGGAAUUAUUGGGCGUAAAGAGCUCGUAGGCGGUUUGUCGCGUCUGCUAGAAAGCCCGGGGCUCAACCCCGGGUCUGCAGUGGGUACGGGCAGACUGGUAUGCAGUAGGGGAGACUGGAAUUCCAGGUGUAGCGGGGGAAUUUACAGAUAUCAGGAGGAACACCGAUGGCGAAGGCAAGUCUCUGGGCUGUAACUACGCUGAGGAGCGAAGAAACCUC